CUCUCAGACAUAGCUGACACAGAACUCUUGGAAAAAGUCAAAAAGAUUCUGUGAAGGACUGAAAACUCUUUGGGUUCAGGACCAAAUACGACGACAUCCAGACAGCUUUCGACCCCUGUUCUGCUAUGAGCCGAACACACUGACUGCUGACCAGGUGGAUGAUCUUUUCAGCAUUCGUCUCUCUCCAGAAGGGAGCAACAAGAGAGCUGCUGACGAGAUGGUCGUUACUUUCUGGAGGGACUAUCUCCAAAAUGCAGAGGAAGAAGAAGGGCCAUCCAAACUAGAGAAGAUAUUGGCCUUCACAACUUGAGCAUCUGACCAGUUCAUUCACAAAGGAGAUGAUGGCUUCUCUACAUCAAUGUUCCCUCUUGCCAACACAUGUGUUAACUGCAUCAACUUGCCACUACAUGUGUCUUACCAACUGUUCAAGGAGAAGUUUGACUUUGCAUUAGGGAACACAUAUGGGUUUGGCAGGGCAUGAACAUGUCAUGCUCUGAAAACUUUUUCUGUCUGUGUCUCACUUUCUCUGUUUGUCUCUACCUUUCUGCUUGUCUGUCUGUUUUCUGAAAAAAGUUUCAAACAAGAGUUAUUAUUUUCAUUUCUGAAUGCCGUAUGCAAUAUAACUUAUGUAUUUUAUAUAGUUUCACCACGAUUCAGUUGACUCAGUCAGCCUAUGUUUUAAAACAUAUUUACAUUUUAACGGCAUGUUUCAUAUUUUUACCAAACUUUUUACCAAAUGUUAAUUUAUUUUUCAUAAAAUGUUUUACGUUUUAACAAAACUUUAAUUCACAGAAUACACUGCACAAGUGAAGAAAACAUUUUAACAAACCUUAACAUAACUCCUA